rnacentral:misc_RNA from 1 species
AAGUCGUAACAAGGUUUCCGUAGGUGAACCUGCGGAAGGAUCAUUACAAAUCGUCUCACCGUGGGUGUGAUGACGCGACAUAUGGACCCUGUUGAAUGGUGAAGAAACCACAAAGGGGCGAGGGCGCAGCCAAUCAUCGGUGAGCGCCCUUGCCCCUUUUUCAUGGACUAGUAUGGACAGAGCGGGCGGUGGUGCGCGUGUGUGGAAGAUGAUGAUUUGAGUUGAUUGGAUGAACCAUUCCAUCCUCUCCGUCAUCCAUCCAUGCGCGCGCGUCCCGCAUCAUCAUUGAUCAAUUAAAAUAUAUAUGUAACUUUUAACAAUGGAUCUCUUGGCUCUU